rnacentral:lncRNA from 1 species
GUGCCUGCCUUGAACAUUCUGUACCAAUUAUAUACUGAGUGCACUUUGCUUGGACUCUUUGAAUCCUUGACAUUUAAGUUAGUGCUUUUGUAUUUGCUAUUGUACUCCUGCAUUUUCUGCCCUAAAAAACGGAAGAACGUGGACUUCAAAGACUUCAGGAUGCUAGAUUGUGUGCUGUGCAGUAUCCUGUUUGCCUGUAAUGCAGAAUUGUCUGACAUUUUUUGCAAAGGAAGUUUCUCUUGUGAUAUUAAUUUGUUUUUGUUUUUUUUCUCUUUAUAGUCUGCCAUUUUCAAUUUUCAGAGUCUAUUGACUGUAAUCUUGCUGCUUAUAUGUACGUGUGCUUAUGUGCGAUCCCUGGCACCCAGCAUCCUGGACAGAAAUAAAACUGGACUAUUGGGGAUAUUUUGGAAGUGUGCCCGAAUUGGUGAACGCAAGAGUCCUUAUGUCGCCAUAUGCUGUAUAGUGAUGGCCUUCAGCAUCCUCUUCAUACAGUAGCUUUGGAAACUACCAGCACGUGAUUGCCAUCAGACUGUACACAGGACGU